AGAGUUAAACAGUACGUGAAAUUGUUAAAAGGGAAACGAUUGAAGUCAGUCAUGCUAGUAAGGAAUCAACUCGGAAUCUUUCCUUGUGUACUUUCUUUCUUAGCAGGUUAACAUCAAUUUUAGUUGUCAUCAAAGAAUUGGGGAAGUGUUUAUAGACCCUGGUAGAUGUGGCGACUGGGAUUGAGGAUUGCAGCGGAUGCCUUCGGCUAGUCACCUGCCUUCUGACGGUCACCUCGCUUUUGACAGCUUGCUGAUGAUUGUGGGAUUUGUCAGUCUAGAAGUUAGAGUGUACAUAAAUUCGCUAAGGAUGUUGACGUAAUGGCUUUAAACGA
rnacentral:misc_RNA from 1 species